rnacentral:rRNA from 2 species
UGGGGAAUAUUGCACAAUGGGGGAAACCCUGAUGCAGCAACGCCGCGUGAGUGAAGAAGUAUUUCGGUAUGUAAAGCUCUAUCAGCAGGGAAGAAAAUGACGGUACCUGACUAAGAAGCCCCGGCUAACUACGUGCCAGCAGCCGCGGUAAUACGUAGGGGGCAAGCGUUAUCCGGAUUUACUGGGUGUAAAGGGAGCGUAGACGGUUUGGCAAGUCUGAAGUGAAAGCCCGGGGCUCAACCCCGGGACUGCUUUGGAAACUGUCAAACUAGAGUGCAGGAGAGGUAAGCGGAAUUCCUAGUGUAGCGGUGAAAUGCGUAGAUAUUAGGAGGAACACCAGUGGCGAAGGCGGCUUACUGGACUGUAACUGACGUUGAGGCUCGAAAGCGUGGGGAGCAAACAGG